rnacentral:rRNA from 1 species
CCGGGUCUCCCCGGGCGCCCCUCCGGCCCCUCGCGGGGGCCCGCCGGAGGUACGCAAACCCCCUGUAUUUGCAUGGCCUCUCUGAGUCUCUGUACUGAAUAAGUCAAAACUUUCAACAACGGAUCUCUUGGUUCUGGCAUCGAUGAAGAACGCAGCGAAAUGCGAUAAGUAAUGUGAAUUGCAGAAUUCAGUGAAUCAUCGAAUCUUUGAACGCACAUUGCGCCCGCCAGUAUUCUGGCGGGCAUGCCUGUUCGAGCGUCAUUUCAACCAUCAAGCCCCGGGCUUGUGUUGGGGCCCUGCGGCUGCCGCAGGCCCCGAAAACCAGUGGCGGGCUCGCUGUCACACCGAGCGUAGUAGUUACCACCUCGCUCCGGGCGUGCCGCGGGUUCCGGCCGUUAAACCCCCCACACUUUUCCAAAGGUUGACCUCGGAUCAGGUAGGAGUACCCGCUGAACUUAAGCAUAUCA